ACUAAGCGUACACGGUGGAUGCCCUGGCAGUCAGAGGCGAUGAAGGACGUGCUAAUCUGCGAUAAGCGUCGGUAAGGUGAUAUGAACCGUUAUAACCGGCGAUUUCCGAAUGGGGAAACCCAGUGUGUUUCGACACACUAUCAUUAACUGAAUCCAUAGGUUAAUGAGGCGAACCGGGGAACUGAAACAUCUAAGUACCCCGAGGAAAAGAAAUCAACCGAGAUUCCCCCAGUAGCGGCGAGCGAACGGGGAGCAGCCCAGAGCCUGAAUCAGUGUGUGUGUUAGUGGAAGCGUCUGGAAAGGCGCGCGAUACAGGGUGACAGCCCCGUACACAAAAAUGCACAUGCUGUGAGCUCGAUGAGUAGGGCGGGACACGUGGUAUCCUGUCUGAAUAUGGGGGACCAUCCUCCAAGGCUAAAUACUCCUGACUGACCGAUAGUGAACCAGUACCGUGAGGGAAAGGCGAAAAGAACCCCGGCGAGGGGAGUGAAAAAGAACCUGAAACCGUGUACGUACAAGCAGUGGGAGCACGCUUAGGCGUGUGACUGCGUACCUUUUGUAUAAUGGGUCAGCGACUUAUAUUCUGUAGCAAGGUUAACCGAAUAGGGGAGCCGAAGGGAAACCGAGUCUUAACUGGGCGUUAAGUUGCAGGGUAUAGACCCGAAACCCGGUGAUCUAGCCAUGGGCAGGUUGAAGGUUGGGUAACACUAACUGGAGGACCGAACCGACUAAUGUUGAAAAAUUAGCGGAUGACUUGUGGCUGGGGUGAAAGGCCAAUCAAACCGGGAGAUAGCUGGUUCUCCCCGAAAGCUAUUUAGGUAGCGCCUCGUGAAUUCAUCUCCGGGGGUAGAGCACUGUUUCGGCAAGGGGGUCAUCCCGACUUACCAACCCGAUGCAAACUGCGAAUACCGGAGAAUGUUAUCACGGGAGACACACGGCGGGUGCUAACGUCCGUCGUGAAGAGGGAAACAACCCAGACCGCCAGCUAAGGUCCCAAAGUCAUGGUUAAGUGGGAAACGAUGUGGGAAGGCCCAGACAGCCAGGAUGUUGGCUUAGAAGCAGCCAUCAUUUAAAGAAAGCGUAAUAGCUCACUGGUCGAGUCGGCCUGCGCGGAAGAUGUAACGGGGCUAAACCAUGCACCGAAGCUGCGGCAGCGACGCUUAUGCGUUGUUGGGUAGGGGAGCGUUCUGUAAGCCUGUGAAGGUGUACUGUGAGGUAUGCUGGAGGUAUCAGAAGUGCGAAUGCUGACAUAAGUAACGAUAAAGCGGGUGAAAAGCCCGCUCGCCGGAAGACCAAGGGUUCCUGUCCAACGUUAAUCGGGGCAGGGUGAGUCGACCCCUAAGGCGAGGCCGAAAGGCGUAGUCGAUGGGAAACAGGUUAAUAUUCCUGUACUUGGUGUUACUGCGAAGGGGGGACGGAGAAGGCUAUGUUGGCCGGGCGACGGUUGUCCCGGUUUAAGCGUGUAGGCUGGUUUUCCAGGCAAAUCCGGAAAAUCAAGGCUGAGGCGUGAUGACGAGGCACUACGGUGCUGAAGCAACAAAUGCCCUGCUUCCAGGAAAAGCCUCUAAGCAUCAGGUAACAUCAAAUCGUACCCCAAACCGACACAGGUGGUCAGGUAGAGAAUACCAAGGCGCUUGAGAGAACUCGGGUGAAGGAACUAGGCAAAAUGGUGCCGUAACUUCGGGAGAAGGCACGCUGAUAUGUAGGUGAAGCGACUUGCUCGUGGAGCUGAAAUCAGUCGAAGAUACCAGCUGGCUGCAACUGUUUAUUAAAAACACAGCACUGUGCAAACACGAAAGUGGACGUAUACGGUGUGACGCCUGCCCGGUGCCGGAAGGUUAAUUGAUGGGGUCAGCGCAAGCGAAGCUCUUGAUCGAAGCCCCGGUAAACGGCGGCCGUAACUAUAACGGUCCUAAGGUAGCGAAAUUCCUUGUCGGGUAAGUUCCGACCUGCACGAAUGGCGUAAUGAUGGCCAGGCUGUCUCCACCCGAGACUCAGUGAAAUUGAACUCGCUGUGAAGAUGCAGUGUACCCGCGGCAAGACGGAAAGACCCCGUGAACCUUUACUAUAGCUUGACACUGAACAUUGAGCCUUGAUGUGUAGGAUAGGUGGGAGGCUUUGAAGUGUGGACGCCAGUCUGCAUGGAGCCGACCUUGAAAUACCACCCUUUAAUGUUUGAUGUUCUAACGUUGACCCGUAAUCCGGGUUGCGGACAGUGUCUGGUGGGUAGUUUGACUGGGGCGGUCUCCUCCUAAAGAGUAACGGAGGAGCACGAAGGUUGGCUAAUCCUGGUCGGACAUCAGGAGGUUAGUGCAAUGGCAUAAGCCAGCUUGACUGCGAGCGUGACGGCGCGAGCAGGUGCGAAAGCAGGUCAUAGUGAUCCGGUGGUUCUGAAUGGAAGGGCCAUCGCUCAACGGAUAAAAGGUACUCCGGGGAUAACAGGCUGAUACCGCCCAAGAGUUCAUAUCGACGGCGGUGUUUGGCACCUCGAUGUCGGCUCAUCACAUCCUGGGGCUGAAGUAGGUCCCAAGGGUAUGGCUGUUCGCCAUUUAAAGUGGUACGCGAGCUGGGUUUAGAACGUCGUGAGACAGUUCGGUCCCUAUCUGCCGUGGGCGCUGGAGAACUGAGGGGGCUGCUCCUAGUACGAGAGGACCGGAGUGGACGCAUCACUGGUGUUCGGGUUGUCAUGCCAAUGGCACUGCCCGGUAGCUAAAUGCGGAAGAGAUAAGUGCUGAAAGCAUCUAAGCACGAAACUUGCCCCGAGAUGAGUUCUCCCUGACUCCUUGAGAGUCCUGAAGGAACGUUGAAGACGACGACGUUGAUAGGCCGGGUGUGUAAGCGCAGCGAUGCGUUGAGCUAACCGGUACUAAUGAACCGUGAGGCUUAACC
rnacentral:rRNA from 1 species